GACGAACGCUGGUGGCGUGCUUAACACAUGAAAGUCGAACGGAAAGGCCCUGCUUUUGUGGGGUGCUCGAGUGGCGAACGGGUGAGUAACACGUGAGUAACCUGCCCUUGACUUUGGGAUAACUUCAGGAAACUGGGGCUAAUACCGGAUAGGAGCUCCUGCUGCAUGGUGGGGGUUGGAAAGUUUCGGCGGUUGGGGAUGGACUCGCGGCUUAUCAGCUUGUUGGUGGGGUAGUGGCUUACCAAGGCUUUGACGGGUAGCCGGCCUGAGAGGGUGACCGGCCACAUUGGGACUGAGAUACGGCCCAGACUCCUACGGGAGGCAGCAGUGGGGAAUAUUGCACAAUGGGCGGAAGCCUGAUGCAGCAACGCCGCGUGCGGGAUGACGGCCUUCGGGUUGUAAACCGCUUUCGCCUGUGACGAAGCGUGAGUGACGGUAAUGGGUAAAGAAGCACCGGCUAACUACGUG
rnacentral:rRNA from 1 species